CACUAUCCACAACAGCCAAGAUAAGGAAUCAACCCACGUGCCCAUCAGCAGAUGAACAGAUAAAGAAAAUGUGGUACAUAUAUACAAUGGAAUAUGAUUUAGCCAUGAAAAAGACUGAGAUCCUGUCAUUUGCAGCAACAUGGAUGGAACUGAAGGUCAAUAUGGCGUGAUCUAUGCAGGAGAAACAGCUUGGGAAAUGCUGAAAUUUCUGACUGUAAGAUAUGCUUGGAUAUACGUAUCUGUUUGGAUAAUUUACUCAUGUGAUCUCUUGGAACCAAGGAUCCUUGGAUCCAAGGAACUCUGAUUUCUAGGAAUACUUUGUAAACAAAUCAAUACACAAAUAGGUGAAUAAUCUGAAUUUUCCAGCCCAGUGAUUUUUGAAAGGAGGCAUCCAAACCAAAAGAGCCCCAGAUCAGAUUUUUACCCAACAACAACUAAAAGUGGUCAGUGUUUGUUUAUGACAGUGAACCCCCUCUGACAGCUUUAUCACCUCUAACAAGGGAGAUAGAUAGAGUGGAUGAACAACUUAUUUUCAAAGCUAACAAACAUUCUAUGACUUAACUGCUUGAAAACUAACUUGUUGCAGAAAGGUGAAAUGCUUUAUUCUCACAGAAAACUCCACUUCUGGAGUUGCCCCUCAAUAUGAAGAAACCGGAAGUAAAAGCCUGUCAUUCUUAAAUAACGUUUAUUAUUGUUGCAAAGAAGUCUUCUUCUCCAUGAGAACAGUUCUCACAUUUAUUUAAAGAUAUAGAGGUUAUGGAUAUAGAUAAGUAUGCCCGACUAUGAUCCUUAAUUCAGCAAUCUAAUAUUCACAAUGUGUUUGUUUGUUGCCAUUUAGCUAUUUAUCCAAACAUGCCUUUAAAAAAAAAAAAAAAACAAAAAAACCACAUGUGCCUAGACAGGGUGGAAAAAGAAACACCAAGGGCUUGCUAAAAAGGAGAAGCCUAAAAAAGAUAAAAUUCCCACGGCAGUUCUGUUCAACUGUAGUCUGUGAGUGCAGGAAUAAUGUUCCCGUGGGGAAGCAUUAUGCCCAGUGGUUUCUUGGUGUCAACGUGGGAAAGCCCUUGAGGUUUUCUGUCGCUGUCAGGAGGAAGCACGAAAACUGUUUAUGGAAUCCAGUCGAUGUUCAGGCACCGCGCGAUGAACGCAAACAUGUCUGAGACUUCCUCUAUCACUUUGGCUGUGGGCUUCCCUGCCCCGUGGCCCGCCUUGGUGUCCACGUGGAUAAGCAGGGGGUUGCUUUGCUUCCUGCUGCGGCCCACGAUGUACUGAAGGGUGGCAAUGAACUUCAGGGAGUGAAGCGGGACCACGCGGUCAUCAUGGUCAGCAGUGAGGAGCAGCAUGGACGGGUACUGGAUGUCAUCUGCUUCUGGUAACUUCACGUUAUGCAAUGGAGAGUAUCUGGAAGGCAAAAACACCUUUGUGAGGCUGGAGAGCAACAGUAGAGUUUUAUGGCACAGGGACCUAGGUAGUUAGUUAGCAGUGAAGACUGCAGUUAACUAGUACGUGAGUGACCACCAUGGACUGUGCCUAUGCAUUACCAUUUAGGCCAUAACUGGCAAGGGCUCCUGGAAACUGGGGAGCUGUGUCAUUUAUGUGGCUCCAACUUUGAAAGACUGUAAGAAGGAAGCUCACAGGUCUGUUGAAACAACCCAAAUCACAGGCAUGCUUACUGUCUCUUAAGGUGAGUAGUUUCAUAUUCUCUAGGCUUUUUUUUUACUGCUACAAAGUGGAAUAAUAAUUGUCAUUAUAACCACACUCAGUGGUUCAAAAAAAGUCCAAGCCUUUCUUUUGUUGAGAAACUUGAAAUCCAUAGUAUAAAGGGGUUUGCUGCCCCUUUAAUAACAUCUAUAAAGCCUUUAUUCCAGGAUCAGUUUUGCAAUCUUAGGAAAAGCACAUGUCCUCUCUGGGCCUAGUUUCUUUGUAAACCGAGAAACCUGGAUGGGCUGCUGAGCCUCCUGCUGGCUCUCAGUCCGGCAGAAAGCAACAGACUUUGCCAGAGGAGGAGGGCACCUUCCGAAGUACAAGGCAAGUUUCCUGGGGUCUUGGAAUGCAGUGGUGUGAUCUUGGCUCACUGUCCCCCCAGGCUCAAGCCAUCCUUCCAUUUCAGCCUCACGAGUAGCU